rnacentral:tRNA from 1 species
GACACCAUAGCUCAGUUGGUUAGAGCAUCGGAUUGUGGUUCCGAGGGUCGUGGGUUCGAGCCCCAUUGGUGUCC